rnacentral:pre_miRNA from 1 species
UCUUACAGAUGAGCAAAGAAAGUGGUUUCUUGAGAUGGAAUCUACUCCUAACGAAGAUAUUGUGAA